AAUUUCUGAAAAGCACAUACGUUUGUACUUAAUAACAUCAUUUUUCUAAAAAUGUGUGAUAUUUAAUAUCACUAAAAAGUUAUUGAUCGUGACAAAUUUAUUUAAAUAUUAUAAUCAAUUCUAAUUACUUAUUACUUUAUUAGUUAUAAAAACAGUUAUUAUACUUGAUUGCAGGAUAAUUUCCUGUUACUUACAGUUAAUGGCAGAUAUUGUGUGUUGAUGUGGUUAAGGCCUGCAGAAAGAAUUAAAUUGUAUUUCCCAUAGAGGACAGAUUAACUAAAACAUGUUGAUUUACAGCACGAUUAAA